ACCAUCCCCAUCCUAACCACCCAUCCAUUUUAUAUACCCAGCACUCAUAAAUAUAGGAAAACCAAUGUCUACCCACCCCCGGCUUCUUUCCUUCCUUCUCUUCUUCCUCCUCAUCCACCUCCUCUUUCUUGCAUCCCCUCCUCCUCCUCCUUCCCAUUGCGCUGCUUUUGUCUCUGCUUUAGUCGCCACUACUUCUCAAACAAAUGCUUUGGUGGCAUGGAAGGCGAGUCUUGACAACCACAGCCAAUCUAUUUUGUCCUCUUGGGUUGGAACCGACCCUUGCAAUCGAUGGAUUGGAAUUGGGUGUCACAAGUCCAUAAGGAGCAUUGCAUAUGUAAACCUCACGGGCCUUGCUUUGAGAGGUACGCUCCAUAGUUUUAAUUUCUCGUCCUUCCAACACCUCCAAAAGCUUGAUCUUAGCAACAACUCCCUCUUCGGAAACAUUCCCUCGAAUCUAGGAAUGCUUAAGUCUCUCAAUGACCUUGAAUUGUCAAAUAACAACCUCACAGGGCCAAUCCCAACUACUCUAGGAGACUUGCACAACUUGACCACCCUGCACCUUUAUGAUAACAUGCUUUCUGGAUCUAUUCCUCGAGAGAUAGGAAGGCUUAAUUCUCUUAAUGACCUUGAAUUGUCAGGUAACAACCUCACAGGGCCAAUCCCAACUACUAUAGGAGACUUGCGCAACUUGACCACCCUGUACCUUCAUCGUAACAUGCUUUCUGGAUCUAUUCCUCGAGAGAUAGGAAUGCUUAAGUCUCUCAAUAACCUUUAUUUGUCAGGUAACAACCUCACAGACCCAAUCCCAACUACUAUAGGAGACUUGCGCAACUUGACCACCCUGUACCUUUAUGACAACAUGCUUUCUGGAUCUAUUCCUCGUGAGAUAGGAAUGCUUAAGUCUCUCAAUGAACUUGAUUUGUCAGGUAACAACCUCACAGGGCCAAUCCCAACUACUAUAGGAGACUUGGGCAACUUGACCACCUUGUACCUUUAUGACAACAUGCUUUCUGGAUCUAUUCCUCGAGAGAUAGGAAUGCUUAAGUCUCUCAUUGUUCUUUCAUUGUCAUUUAACAAUCUCACAGCUUCAAUUCCAAGUUCGAUAAGAAAUUUAAAAAACUUGACCACUUUGUACCUUGGGGAAAAUGAACUUACUGGAUCUAUUCCUCGAGAGAUAGGAAUGCUUAAGUCUCUCAAUAGCCUUGAAUUGUCAAAUAACAACCUCACAGGGCCAAUCCCAACUACUAUAGGAGACAUGGGCAACUUGACCAUCCUGUACCUUUAUGACAACAACCUCACGGGGGCCCUUCCAACUGCAAUUGGAAAUUUUACUAAGCUCACCUCCCUAUCACUAUAUAAUAAUCUAUUAUCAGGCCUACUCCCUUCAGAAAUAGGGAAAUUGAAGUCUCUUCAAGAGUUACACUUGUUUUCCAACAAAUUUUAUGGCUCAAUUCCUCAAGAGAUGAAUAAUCUUACACAUUUGAGGCUCCUGGCUUUAUCUGAUAACAAAUUUAUUGGCCAUUUUCCAGAAAAUACAUGCCUUGGUGGUUUGCUUGAGAAUUUUACUAUACAAGAUAACCAUUUCAUAGGUUCCAUUGCAAAAAUCUUAAGGAACUGUACUACCCUAGUUAGGGUUAGGCUAGAAAGGAAUCAGUUCACUGGAAACAUAUCAGAACAUUUUGGCAUAUACCCAAAUUUAAAUUAUAUGGAUUUGAGCAACAAUAAAUUCUAUGGCGAGCUUUCUCAUAAGUGGGGGCAAUGCUAUAGAAUGACGGCCCUAAAACUCUCCAACAAUAAAAUCUCAAGUGAGAUUCCUCUUGAACUUGGCAAAGCUACAAAUCUACAAGUGCUUGACCUCUCCUCAAAUAACCUUGUUGGGACGAUCCCAAAGGAACUUGGGAGAUUGACAUCAAUGUUAGUCCUUUUGCUAGACAACAACAAGCUUUCAGGCACUAUUCCAUUAGAAAUUCUAACGCUUUCAAGUCUAGAACAUCUUAGCAUGGCAUCAAAUAAUUUAAGUGGCUUAGUUCCGAAAGAAAUAGGGGAGUGCAAAAGAUUAUGGAUCUUGAGUAUGUGUAAUAACAGAUUUGAAGGAACUCUGCCAUUUCAAAUUGGCAAGUUAGAAUCUUUGCAAUUUCUUGAUCUAAGCAUGAAUUUGUUUGUUGGAGAGAUACCACAGCAGGUUGGCAAAUUGAAUAAGUUGGAAACAUUGAAUCUCUCCCACAAUGGAUUCUCCGGUUCAAUUCCAUCCACCUUUGAUGAUCUCAUUGCCUUGACAUCUGUCGAUGUAUCCUACAAUAAGCACUUAGAGGGUCCUAUUCCUACGGCCAAGCCCUUUCAAAUUGCUCAAAUUGAUUCCUACAGAAACACAAGCUUAUGUGGCAGUGUCCUAGGUUUGGAGGCUUGUCCCUCUACGAUUAGCCACAUUUCUCAUGAAGAAAAGGGAAAUAAAAUCAUGAUCUUGACUGCAGUCUCCAUAAUGGCAGUAGUAUUUUCCAUACUCAUUAUAGCUGGAGUUUUUUUUCUCCUUGGUUCUAGAGAAAAGAAAAUGGAUAACCAACCAAGGGAAAUGCAAAAUGAAAAUAUUUUUGCGGUUUGGAGGUAUGACGGGAUGAUGGUUUACGAACAAAUAUUCGAAGCAACAGAGGGAUUUAAUUUUAAGUAUUGCAUCGGAGUAGGAGGAUAUGGAGUUGUUUACAAAGCGAAGUUGCCCAGCACUGGCCAAGUUGUUGCUGUGAAGAAACUUCAUCCUUUACAAGAUGACGAGUCCAUGGACAAUUCAAAAGCUUUUGAAAGUGAGAUUCGAGCAUUGACGGAAAUAUGCCAUCGAAACAUUGUGAAACUUUAUGGGUUUUGCUCACAUGUAGAGCAAUCCCUUCUUAUUUACCAGUUUAUAGAGAGAGGAAGCUUGGGGAAGAUGCUAAGCAAUGGUAAUCGAGAACAAGCAAUGGAGUUGAACUGGAGUAGGAGGGUAAAUGUGGUGAGAGGAAUUGCAAAUGCUUUGUCCUACAUGCACCAUGAUUGUUCACCCCCCAUAAUUCAUCGUGACAUAUCUAGUAACAAUGUUUUGUUGGAUUUGGAGUACGAAGCUCAUGUGUCUGAUUUUGGGACUGCUAGGCUUUUAAAGCCUGAUUCCUCCAAUUGGAGUUCAAUGGCAGGGACGAUUGGAUACACAGCUCCAGAGCUUUCCUAUACGAUGAAAGUGACAGAGAAGUGUGAUGUUUAUAGCUUUGGAGUAGUGUCAAUGGAAGUAAUUAUGGGAAGGCAUCCAGGUGACCUCAUCUCAUCUCUACCAUUCUCCUCGUCAUUACCAUCAACAUCAUCAUCAUUAUCCACUCACCAUGUACUGUUGAAAGAUGUGGUAGACCAACGUCUAUCACCUCCUACAAAUAAACUUGCAAAUGAAGUGGCCUGGAUUGUGAAGCUAGCAUUUGCAUGCUUGUACUCUAAUCCUCAAAUUCGACCAACAAUGCGACAAGUUUCACAAAAAUUAUCAGUUAAAAAGCCACCUCUGCAGAAGUCAUUCUCCACACUUGCACUGGAUGACAUCUUGGCGACAAAUAUCUAAAGCUUGCUUACAUAGUGCAAGUGACAAGGAAGUGUGAUGUUCAUAGCUUUAGAGUGAUAUCAAUGGAAGCAACCAUGGGAAUGAACUUGGGCAAUCUCAUCUCAUCACUAUUGUCGUCUGCUCAUCAUAUGCUGCUGAAGGACGUGGGUCCCAACAAGUGGUAUUAGAACCCGAUUAAAGCAGAAAGACCGAGUUGUUCACUGAAAUCAAAGCUCUGUCUAGUGGCUCGAAAUUGAAUUUUGAGGUCACCAUCAUGUUCACCUUGCCAAGACGAAGCCAACGAUGCAAACCGAAGCUCGAAGGAGCUUAGACGGAAGCACACACGCCCCCAUGUGCCUUACCGGAGAAGAACGCCUCGCCAUGCGCUGGUCACGUGCCAGUGAACUGCCGCUCACGCGGCCCACGCGUGCCACGAGUCUUCCUCGCCCAAACGGCCACAGCCCGACCGCGACCCGGAAACCUAACCCGGCGACUCACUCAGACUGGACCAACCCGAGACCCAGCCCGCAUCCGACCCGAAUAUGUAUCCAACCCAACCAGCUUCAGACCCCACCACGUUAGCACAGCGCACGCGCCUUGUUUGCGUGGGUCUCACUUUCCUCUUCCUCUUAAGUCAUCCUUUUUAUCUUUCAAAGGAAGAUUUAUUGUCACUGUAUAAUAUAUUUUUUUAUGAAUGAAAUACCAAUAAAUGUCUAUUCCUAUAAA